GAUGAACGCUAGCUACAGGCUUAACACAUGCAAGUCGAGGGGAAACGAUAGAGAAAGCUUGCUUUUUCUAGGCGUCGACCGGCGCACGGGUGAGUAACGCGUAUCCAACCUGCCCACCACUUGGGGAUAACCUUGCGAAAGUAAGACUAAUACCCAAUGACGUCUCUAGAAGACAUCUGAAAGAGAUUAAAGAUUUAUCGGUGAUGGAUGGGGAUGCGUCUGAUUAGCUUGUUGGCGGGGUAACGGCCCACCAAGGCGACGAUCAGUAGCCGGACUGAGAGGUUGAACGGCCACAUUGGGACUGAGAUACGGCCCAGACUCCUACGGGAGGCAGCAGUGGGGAAUAUUGGGCAAUGGGCGCAAGCCUGACCCACGCAACGCCGCGUGAAGGAAGAAGGCUUCGGUUGUAACGUUACUUUUGUUCUAGGGACGAGUAGAAGA
rnacentral:rRNA from 1 species